rnacentral:rRNA from 1 species
UGCCAGCGCCGCGGUAAUACCGGCAGCCCGAGUGAUGGCCACUCUUAUUGGGCCUAAAGCGUCCGUAGCCGGCCUCGCAAGUCCGUCGGGAAAUCCAGUAGCUCAACUACUGGGCGUCCGGCGGAAACUACAAGGCUUGGGACCGGAAGGCUCGAGGGGUACGUCCGGGGUAGGAGUGAAAUCCUGUAAUCCUGGACGGACCGCCGGUGGCGAAAGCGCCUCGGGAAGACGGACCCGACAGUGAGGGACGAAAGCUGGGAUCUCGAACCGGAUUAGAAACCCCAGUAGUCC